rnacentral:rRNA from 1 species
UUGUGCCGCCAGGUGCACUGCUGAGUAGCUAAGUCCGGAAGAGAUAAGCGCUGAAAGCAUCUAAGCGCGAAACUCGCUCCAAGAUGAGACCUCCCAAGAGGGGCGUUCGAGACGAGGACGUAGAUAGGUGACAGGUGUAAGCGGUGAGAGCCGUUGAGCCGAGUCAUACUAAUACCCCGAUAGGCUUCUUUGC